rnacentral:misc_RNA from 1 species
GUUAAUCAUCGAAUUUUUGAACGCAAAUUGCACUCUCCGGUUUUCCGGGAGAGUAUGCCUGUUUGUGGGUCAGCCUAAAAAAAAAAUCGACAUUUUUGCUGUUUUAUGGUUUCUUUCGUCGGAGAAGGGUUCUCUUUAAUCUCGGUUUAAGCGACUUCAAAAUUUUUAUUACGUUUUUAUGAU